rnacentral:rRNA from 2 species
UGGGGAAUAUUGCACAAUGAGCGAAAGCUUGAUGCAGCGACGCCGCGUGAGGGAUGACGGCUUUCGGGUUGUAAACCUCUUUCGGCAGGGAACAAGUCCAUGUUUUUGCAUGGUUGAGGGUACCUGCAUAAGAAGCGCCGGCUAACUCCGUGCCAGCAGCCGCGGUAAUACGUAGGGCGCGAGCGUUGUCCGGAAUUAUUGGGCGUAAAGAGCUCGUAGGCGGCUUGUCACGUCUGCUGUGAAAACGCGGGGCUUAACUCCGCGCUUGCAGUGGGUACGGGCAGGCUUGAGUAUAGUAGGGGAGACUGGAAUUCCUGGUGUAGCGGUGGAAUGCGCAGAUAUCAGGAGGAACACCGAUGGCGAAGGCAGGUCUCUGGGCUAUAACUGACGCUGAGGAGCGAAAGCAUGGGGAGCGAACAGG